CACUGUGUGGUGCAGUGGUUUGAGUGUUGGACUACAACUCUGGAGAGCUGGGUUCGAUUCCCAGCUUGGCCA